rnacentral:rRNA from 1 species
UGCAGUCGAACGGCACCUUCGGGUGCAGUGGCGGACGGGUGAGUAACACGUAAGUAACCUGCCCGAAAGUGGGGAAUAACUAGCCGAAAGGCUGGCUAAUACCGCAUGUGAUGGUCGCUCUUUGGGGUGGUCAUGAAAGGCCUUCGGGUCGCUUUCGGAGGGGCUUGCGGCCGAUUAGCUUGUUGGUGGGGUAACGGCCUACCAAGGCUGCGAUCGGUAGCUGGUCUGAGAGGACGGACAGCCACACGGGGACUGAGAUACGGCCCCGACUCCUACGGGAGGCAGCAGCUAGGAAUCUUGGGAAUGGGCGAAAGCCUGACCCAGCAACGCCGCGUGGGCGAUGAAGGCCUUCGGGUCGUAAAGCCCUUUUGCAGGGGACGAUGAUGACGGUACCCUGCGAAUAAGCCACGGCUAACUACGUGCCAGCAGCCGCGGUAAUACGUAGGUGGCAAGCGUUGUCCGGAUUUACUGGGCGUAAAGGGCGUGCAGGCGGUUUGUUAAGUCUAGGGUGAAAGCUCCCGGCUCAACUGGGAGAGGUCCUUGGAUACUGGCAGACUUGAGGAGAGUAGAGGAGAGUGGAAUUCCCGGUGUAGUGGUGAUAUGCGUAGAUAUCGGGAGGAACACCAGUGGCGAAGGCGGCUCUCUGGGCUCUACCUGACGCUGAGACGCGAAAGCGUGGGGAGCGAACCGGAUUAGAUACCCGGGUAGUCCACGCCGUAAACUAUGGACACUAGGUGUGGGGGGUAUCGACCCCCUCCGUGCCGAAGCCAACGCAAUAAGUGUCCCGCCUGGGGAGUACGGCCGCAAGGCUAAAACUCAAAGGAAUUGAC